UGAAAGAAACCCUACAAAACAAAAAACAGAUGUUAACAUCUUAUCAGAGAAAGUUACCUCCCAAAACAGUGAUCUUUUAGUAUCCCUUUAAAAACCUUAUUGUUAAAGACAUUAGGAACAUUUUCAAAAGUAAAUCUUUUUCUACAAUGCUCAAUAAUCUUUUGUAUUUGUCAGGAGUUCACAUACAAUUCUUAUCACCAGCUUUGCAAUGCUUAAUCUGCCAUGGUAGAAAUCAAUUUUAUAUGGUAUCUAAACAAUUCAAGUGAAUUUUAAAAAUGGGCAGAAUGUUUUAUUAAAUUUGGCUUACCAAUAUCAUAUGUUGAAUUUUAGUAAAGGAGAGGAACAUGUUUAUUUCUAAUGAAGAUCAGCAAAAGAUGAAAAACUUUACAUAGCAAAAUUUACCUCGUCUCCUUGAGUUCUCAUGAACCUGUCUCUGACAUUCAUUUUUAAAAAUUUUGAUAUUCAAAAAAGACAACAUCAAAAAUAGGCCACAUCAAAAAUAGGCCAUGCCAAGUGCAACGUCGUUGUUG
rnacentral:lncRNA from 1 species